CAAUAUUUUAGUACAGUGUUUAUAGGCUAGACAACCAGAAAAAUAAUUCCUAUAAUACACGCAUGUACACGACAAGAUGCUUCAGCUGUUGUUAUGGCAGAAUGCUAGUAGAAAAGAGUUACAAUUGGAUUAACCUUUUUUAGUGGCAAACAUUCUUUAACCAGUUCUUGAAGAAGAGCCGUUCACGCUUACUUACCAGAAGUUUUAUGGAGAGCCUGUCUUUGUGAAGUAAGAUGAGAAAUCUACUUGCAGGUUCUCAUACUUGUUCAUGAAUGGAUGAGUCAAAAGUUCACGUUUUUUUGGGUCCUUCUGCAAACAUGAAGAUAUGAAUGAGCAAAACUCUGGGGAAAAUUGAUCAGAAGGUGCGCAAGGUUCAGGUUGCUCAACAAUAGCUUCCAUAAGUUCAAAGAUGUUAGCCCAGACUUCAUCCUGUUCUGGAGGGGAAUAUGGGAAUUGACCAGUUGCACACUCCAGCAAUACUAUACCCAUGCUCCAAAUGUCACUUUUGUAGUUAUGUGAUCCUUCACUAAUUUCACUGUUGAUUCUCUCAGGAGACAUAUAGUGGUAUGUACCAACAUAAGUAUUUGCCUGUCCAGAGGUGCUUGCC
rnacentral:misc_RNA from 1 species